AGCGCAGGUGGGAAUGUAAGUCAGUCUUAAAGUGCGGGGCUCAACCCCGUGAGGGGAUUGAAACUACAUUUCUUGAGUGCAGGAGAGGAAAGUGGAAUUCCUAGUGUAGCGGUGAAAUGCGUAGAGAUUAGGAGGAACACCAGUGGCGAAGGCGACUUUCUGGACUGUAACUGACACUGAGGCUCGAAAGCCAGGGGAGCGAACG
rnacentral:rRNA from 1 species